GGGGAAGUGACAGAGGUUCUAGAACUCUUUGGAAGCCUGGCGGUUCUGAGCUCAGGCGGCCACCUGAUGACCAAUUUAGCAGAAGAGGAGCUGGCAGAGACCGCGUGAGCAGCUGAGCCCCUGAGCGGCAGAGCCGGCGUUCGGUGCCUGCACUAGCCGUCGGGUUCAGAGUUCAUCUGCAGAGCCGUGUUCCCUUCUCGGUGCGGGCCUCAUGCGGUCGGUCUGCACAGCUCCCAGGCAGGCAGAGGCCGUGUCCAGUUCCCUCCUCAUAGAAGCCCCUUCUGGCGUGAACAUUCUUGGCUUCAGGCUUUGCUCUUCAGAAUUUUGGUUCUCCAAGAAUCACAGAAUGUUAGCACAGAUGUAGAAAGAAGAAAAAAACAGAAAUGUUCUUUGAAAUAAGCACUGACUGCUUUCCUGUGCCGGGGACAGUGUAUCUCACAGGCCGGCUUGACUCAGUUUAGGAAAUUGCCCCAGUGGCUUUGGUUGCUCUGAAAGGUGAGCCUGCUCCGUGCCCAGCCUCUCCCUGCCUCCAGGGGUCCCAGCAGGAAGGAACAGGUGAAGGGAAGAGAGGACUGAGCUGCUUGCACAAAAAGAGAAAGGGACUCUGGUUUUCACAAACGUCCUGGGAGGAAAGAGGUGAGACUCCACGGAACAGAAUAGUAGGGAGAGGAAAGAUAUGAUGGGAUCAGGAAGCGCAAAGAGAGACAUCCAGGGCCAGAGUGGGGGUGCCCAGCUGCCAAGAAAUCCCCUGUGCUGUCAUCUGUGAUGUGCCAUCCGCCACUCUAAACAUCAUGCACGUCUGCUGCCCAGAAGGGCCCACGUGAAUGACACUUUGCACAAAUGAUGGAGCUGCAUGGUGCCCAGCAUGGACCACCCACUGAGUACGCAGCAGAAGAGGAAACGUGAAGGGAGAUGACCAGGAGAAACGGGGGAUCCUCAUGGGACACUGGCUUCUCCACCCUACAUGGACUCAUGUCCACCCAGAACCUGUGAAUUUGACCUAAUUUGGAAAUAGGGUCUUUGCAGAUGUGAUCAAGUUAAGAUUCAGUCAUACUGGAGUAGAGUGGCCCCUAAUCCAAUGGCUGGUAUUCUUAUAAGAAGAGGGAAAUUUCGUCAAAGACACAGAGACACAGGGAGAAGAAACCCGUGUGGAGAUGGAGCAGAGGCUGGAGCGAUGCGUCUACAAGCCGAGGAAGGCAAGCAUCACUGGCAGGCCCCACAAGCUGGGAGGGAGGCUGGAACACGUGGUCCCUGGAGCCUCCAGAAGGAACCACCUCUGCCGAUACCUUGAUCUCAGGCUCCUGGCCUCCGAACUGCGAGAGAAUAAAUCUCUAUUGUUUUAAGCUCCGCUCCAGUUUGUGGUGUCUUAUUUUGGCAGCC
rnacentral:lncRNA from 1 species